ACUUUUGUCACCGCCGAGACCCACCUCCACCACCACCAGCAACCAACACCACCAUUACCACUAAUCACUAAUUCACACAUUCGUAAAAAAAAUCAAAUUUUAUUUCAUAUUUUUGACCAAUUUUCCACUUUUGAUUUCGAUUUUGCAAUACAGAUUUCAGCGUCUCUUCUCGGUGGAGGUUGUUGUCACCGCCGACAACCUCACCACCACCACUACUACUAUCACCACCAGCACCAACAAUUUUUAUUAUAUAUUUGAAUUUCUCCAAUUUUGAUUUCAAUUGAUACACCAAAUUCGAAUUUAAAUUCAUACUCACCACCACCACCCUCCUCCUCCAACUCCCUCAAUUUCAAAUAGAAAACACUUAAAUUCAUAUAUCAUACGAUGUUUCGUACACAAACACUUCAAUUCAUACACCAAUUCUUAUUUCAGAUGUAAAGUUCAUCAAAUUAGUUACAGAUACAUAUGUUUUUCCACAUCGUCUCUUCUUAACUUCUACUACAGCUCUUUUACUUGUUUGUGGAAAUGCCUAAGAGAAGACCAUUGUUUAACUUCAAUCAACCCAUUUUUUUGUAGCUCUUUUAUUUGUACACCAAAUUUGAUACACAAAACACUUCAGUUCAUAUAAUGCUUCAAUACACAAACACUUUAAUUUGUACACCGAAAUUGAUUUUAAAUAUAAAGCUCGUCACAUAAUUUACAGGUACUUAUGUUGAAAUCUUUAAUGGAAAAUUGAAAUCAAAUUUGAUAUACAAAACACUUCAGUUCAUAUAAUGCUUCAAUACACAAACACUCCAAUUUGUACACCAAAUUUGAUUUCAGAUAUAAAGUUCAUCACAUAAUUUACAGAUGGAUUCAUCGCAAUAUAACGUCCGUUGAAGCCCGAGACUUAUGGCUGCAAGAUAGCCAAUCCCAGCGUCAGAAACAACUAUGGCGUGCUCAAUGCAAAGCAAAACAAGAGAAAUUGACCGAACAAUAAAAACAGGCGUUGAAUGCAAGAAGCUUUAUUUCCUAUCAAAAUCGGAAGACAAGAAUUAAUGAAGCCAGUACAAGUUCAAGUGUACAAGUUUAUGACUCGGGUGGAAAGCAUAAAGCAGAAUCAAGUUUGAUUCCUUGCCGAAGUCCUAGAGUUGAGCUUCAGUAGAGAGAACUUAAAUUAUAAAAACACUAUAUUGUAAUGAAGGAAAGACGAAGUUCCAUUAUUGAAAUUGAAAAGGAAGCACAUCUACAAAGACGUAGAAAUGCUUAUCAUCAUAUGAAGAAAACAAGAGGAAUUGAAAACACAAGUUGCAAUAAUAACUUUCAAGGUACUGCGAGAACAUUGAUUCCACGGCCCGAGAAUUUUAGAGCAAGUUAAGCACCGAGAUGUGGAUUUCGAGAAAGAAAGAGAUGGCCAUCAGGGAGUGACAGGAACAAGUUGCAGUUGAAACUCUCAAGGUGAAGCAGUGGCUUCGAUUCCAUGACAAAAUCCCAUGGUCCUCGAGCAAUUUCAGCAUGGUGUUGUGCACGCCGCAGAGAAUGAUAAAGAGGAAGAAGGAAAGACGUAUAACGAAAGAUGACGGGCAUUGAAGGAACAAAGGAAGUUUGAAAAACAAAAUAUGGGAGCAAUAUUACUAUGCCCAAGUUCAGCAUCAAGCUAAUGCAUCAUUCCCAUGUAAUGCAGCAGUAACAGUGGUCAUUCCCUCCCAAACCCCAGAUCUUGACUGCGAGGCAUCCCGAAAGAGAAAAGGAAAGUUUGUAGCACAUUGUAAUCGACCUCGGGGGGGAAAAGGUGAAGCGCAUAAAGCAGAAUCAAGUAAUUUGCAAUCGAGAUCGGAUGAAGUUGUACGGCAUCAUAUUCUUAUAAAAGAAAUAUUUUCCCAUUUGGAUUUGAGCCUUAAAUCGAAUAGAGAUGCAGAGCAAGCUCGAAUUGGAAGAUUAGCAUAACUCCGAAGAAACCGAAUAUUAUGGUAUGAAAAGUCAUUGCUCGAACGCUGUCGAAGUCCAAGAAUUGCACAAUAUCGAAUCCUCCGAGAGAACCUGAGUUGUGAUGGACUCAUUGAUGUACCAAUUACAUAUGCCUCAGGUGGACUAGGUAGCCUCUUUGACGUGCCAGUAGGGACUUCCUCAAGUGGAAUUCUCCGGUUGACAGUGAGUUCAGUAACAAGUGAACUAGACAACCUCUUUGACGUGUAGAUAACAUAUCCCUGUAAACCCCCUGCACUUUCAAAUUAUGCACGCCAGAGAAGAUACUAUGUAACACGUAUAAGGAAGCAAAGAAGUGUUACGCAUGUCAUGUAUAAUAAACUACAAAGAAACUGACAUUGUAGAAUUGCUCAAACAAAUAUUGACGGUAUACCAUCAAAUGCUCAAUCAAAUAUUGAUGAUAGACCAUCAAACGCUCAAAGGUUCAGAGAAACAAUGGAUAAGAUAAAAUGGGGUUUUUGUUUGGAAUGCAAAACGAUGUUCCCAGAUAUGUCACCUGAAGGGAUCUGUACGUUUUGUUAGACAGACAAAGACAAUCACUCAGAAGUUUUGUUGUUUAAUAAAGACAAUAAAAUGGUUCCAAGAGAUGUACCGGACGAGCUAUCCCGUUUAACCGAUCUUGAGAAUAUUUUGAUAGGUUGUGUCCAUACAGUAAUGUCGGUAUAUCGAAUCAAAGGCCAACAGUAUAAAUAUGGUGGUAAUGUUAUUAAUUUUGUACGAGAUGUGAAUGCGAUAGCUAAAGUACUUCCAUGUAAACCUAAAGAUCUAUCGGCAAUUUUGGUUGUGAAGGGAACUGGCAAUGUGUCAAUGGAAGAGUUUAUAGUUCGGCGGGAGUAUGUGCGGCAAGCUCUGAUGUGGCUGAGAGAAAAUCAUAAAUACUACCCAGAUAUAGAAAUUAGUGGGGAGAACAUCGAUACUUUUCCUGAGGAACGUGUUCCAUGUAACCUUCAAGUUAAAGAUGGAGGUAUUGGCCAACAGGGAAAUAGUAGUUCUUCGGCAGUAACAGUGAAGAUGAUGGUAUGAUGGACCUCCAGAGUUGCAAGAUCAGAGUGUCAGUAUCGAUGAGUUUGAAACUGUAUGCACAAUUGGAGUAACAGUGCAGCUAGAUCAGGAGAGGCACGUUAGAAAAGCUCUGGAGAAUGAUGAGAUAGAUAAGACCAACAUGGAUUUGUCGUUUACUGGUGAAGUAAUUAGUGAGUUUACAACAAAAGGGUAUAUCAACAUGGCGUUUCAGGCUUUAUUUCCUGACGGUUCUGCAGAUUUACAGCAACCAAGAGUUAGGAAAGUACCUGAACGUGUGUAUUUUCAGUACCUGAUGGGAUACCAUGGAGGGUGUUUCCCUCGUGACUCAAGAUUUUGAUAUUUUACUUUAAAUUCGCUGACCAGGUGGCGUGCAUUAUCUUUAGGAUCUGUUUACAUUAACAAGUACCCACAAGAUCAUAAACUCUUUAUUGAAAGUAUCCGAGAAAUGGUCUCAUCAGAGGACAUCUGGUUAAUUGGUCGUGUUUCUUAUGUUGUGCAACAGAUUCGUGGAUGCAAAGCUUAUUGGUAUAGUAUGCUAAAAGAGCUUAUAUCGAUGGUGAAUCAGUUGAGCCAACGUCCAUAUUCUUCACAAUUAGUGCAGCUGACCUCCAAUGGCCUGAACUCUACAUGCUCCUUGACCCGGAAAACAGGUUGGAAGCUUUAGAUUCAAUGAUAAAAUGAGAGAAAGGGAAAGGUUACUAAACGAUAAUUCGUUGGUUGUAUCAUGGUUCCAUAAAAGGGCAGAUAUAUGUAUUCUUCAAAGAGUUUUUGAAUAAAGAAUUUCCUUUGGUUGA